rnacentral:rRNA from 1 species
CUGUCGGUUCGCCGCCCGUCGGUGUCAACUGGCAUGUCCUGUGGAACGUCCUGCCGGUGGCGGACCGGGCUUUCGGCUUGCGUAAGGGCUUACGCCCGAAGCAGGCCGAACAGUACCGGCCGCCGGUCCAAUCCCGCCACGGUGCUCUUCACCGAGUGUCGAGGUGGGCCGGCACGUUUACUUUGAACAAAUUAGAGUGCUUAAAGCAGGCUGGUGUCCGCCUGAAUACUGUGUGCAUGGAAUAAUAGAAUAGGACCUCGGUUCUAUUUUGUUGGUUUUCGGAACCCGAGGUAAUGAUUAAUAGGGACAGGCGGGGGCAUUCGUAUUGCGACGUUAGAGGUGAAAUUCUUGGAUCGUCGCAAGACGAACCUAAGCGAAAGCAUUUGCCAAGUAUGUUCUCGUUAAUCAAGAACGAAAGUUAGAGGUUCGAAGGCGAUCAGAUACCGCCCUAGUUCUAACCAUAAACGAUGCCAGCCAGCGAUCCGCCGAAGUUCCUCCGAUGACUCGGCGGGCAGCUUCCGGGAAACCAAAGCUUUUGGGUUCCGGGGGAAGUAUGGUUGCAAAGCUGAAACUUAAAGGAAUUGACGGAAGGGCACCACCAGGAGUGGAGCCUGCGGCUUAAUUUGACUCAACACGGGAAACCUCACCAGGCCCGGACACCGGAAGGAUUGACAGAUUGAGAGCUCUUUCUUGAUUCGGUGGGUGGUGGUGCAUG